AACGUAGGAGGCGAGCGUUAUCCGGAUUUACUGGGCGUAAAGCGCACGCAGGCGGCUCUGUGAGUCGGACGUGAAAGCUCUCGGCUUAACCGGGAGAGGUCGUUCGAUACUGCAGGGCUUGAGGUAGGGAGAGGAAUGCGGAAUUCCCGGUGUAGUGGUGGAAUGCGUAGAUAUCGGGAGGAACACCUGUGGCGAAAGCGGCAUUCUGGCCCUCACCUGACGCUGAGGUGCGAAAGCGUGGGUAGCAAACAGG
rnacentral:rRNA from 1 species